rnacentral:rRNA from 1 species
AAACUGGAGAGUUUGAUCCUGGCUCAGAACGAACGCUGGCGGCGUGCCUAACACAUGCAAGUCGAACGAGAAAGGGACUUCGGUCCUGAGUAGAGUGGCGCACGGGUGAGUAACACGUGGAUAACCUACCCUAAAGUCCGGGAUAACAUUUCGAA